CAGCCGCGCGGGAACACGUAGGUGGCAAGCGUUGUCCGGAAUUAUUGGGCGUAAAGCGCGCGCAGGCGGAUAGGUCAGUCUGUCUUAAAAGUUCGGGGCUUAACCCCGUGAUGGGAUGGAAACUGCCAAUCUAGAGUAUCGGAGAGGAAAGUGGAAUUCCUAGUGUAGCGGUGAAAUGCGUAGAUAUUAGGAAGAACACCAGUGGCGAAGGCGACUUUCUGGACGAAAACUGACGCUGAGGCGCGAAAGCCAGGGGAGCGAACGGGAUUAGAUACCCCCGUAGUCCCUGUCUCUUAUACAC
rnacentral:rRNA from 1 species